rnacentral:rRNA from 1 species
CGAAAAUACCAAGCUUGCUUGGUUGAUUAGUGGCGAACGGGUGAGUAACACGUGAGUUACCUGCCCCUUACUUUCCUGGAUAACUGCUCGAAAGGGUAGCUAAUACGGGAUAUUCUGACCGGCCUGCAUGGGUUGGUUUGGAAAGGUUGUUUUUCUGGUAAGGGAUGGGCUCGCGGCCUAUCAGCUUGUUGGUGGGGUGAUGGCCUACCAAGGCUUUGACGGGUAGCCGGCCUGAGAGGGUGGACGGGUCACACUGGGACUGAGAUACGGCCCAGACUCCUACGGGAGGCAGCAGUUGGGAAUAUUGCACAAUGGGCGCAAGCUGUAUGCAGCGACGCCGCGUGAGGGAUGAAGGCCUUCGGGUUGUAAACCUCUUUCGUCAGGGAACAAGGCACUGUCUUUUUGGUGGUGUUGAGGGUACCUGGAUAAGAAGCGCCGGCUAACUACGUGCCGGCAGCCGCGGUAAUACGUAGGGCGCAAGCGUUGUCCGGAAUUAUUGGGCGUAAAGAGCUCGUAGGCGGCUGGUCGCGUCUGUCGUGAAAACUUCCGGCUCAACCGGGGGCUUGCGGUGGGUACGGGCCGGCUAGAGUGCGGUAGGGGUAACUGGAACUCCUGGUGUAGCGGUGGAAUGCGCAGAUAUCAGGAAGAACACCGAUGGCGAAGGCAGGUUACUGGGCCGUUACUGACGCUGAGGAGCGAAAGCGUGGGGAGCGAACAGGAUUAGAUACCCUGGUAGUCCACGCCGUAAACGUUGGGCACUAGGUGUGAGGCUCCUUUCCGGGGG